UGAGCCUACGGUAGCACUCAUGGAGCUUCCUGGACAUAACUGACUUUGGGCACAAAUGCUUCAAACACAUCUGAAGACCCUCUGGAUUGAAAGUAUCAAAUCACAUGACCAUUUUCCAUUUAGUCGUUGAAUUGAGCACUUCUAUUGACUUUCUACCAAGUGCCAGGCACUGGGAGACAUUUCAAAUCACACCUGAGGACAGAGAUAGAAGCCACUGCCCACCAGGAGAUCACCACCAGGUGGCUGAUGACAGAUUCAGUGGUGCAGUACAGUGGGACACUUCUCAACCCUGCAUUGAAAGCUACUCGCAAGAUCCCGUGAGGCAUUGAAAAGCAUUACCGUGAGAGGAAGUUCAGAGAUUCCAGAAUGCCAGAGGACACAAAGCAUGGAAGACUCAAAAGCUUAAUCCCUUCUCUAAAAUCAGUGAGACUGGUGGGGCAGUGGGGGUGAGGGGACCUGUGGAGGAAAGGAGGGAGGUGGAGGGAAGAGGGACACAGAAACUAAC
rnacentral:lncRNA from 1 species